rnacentral:rRNA from 1 species
GACGAACGCUGGCGGCGUGCCUAACACAUGCAAGUCGAGCGAAUGAAGUUCCUUCGGGAACGGAUUUAGCGGCGGACGGGUGAGUAACACGUGGGCAACCUGCCCCAUAGAGGGGAAUAGCCUUCCGAAAGGGAGAUUAAUACCGCAUAAGAUUGUAGUACUGCAUGGUACAGCAAUUAAAGGAGCAAUCCGCUAUGAGUUGGGCCCGCGGCGCAUUAGCUAGUUGGUGAGGUAACGGCUCACCAAGGCGACGAUGCGUAGCCGACCUGAGAGGGUGAUCGGCCACAUUGGGACUGAGACACGGCCCAGACUCCUACGGGAGGCAGCAGUGGGGAAUAUUGCACAAUGGGGGAAACCCUGAUGCAGCAACGCCGCGUGAGUGAUGACGGCCUUCGGGUUGUAAAGCUCUGUCUUCAGGGAAGAUAAUGACUGUACCGGAAGAAUAAGCCCCGGCAAACUUCGUGCCAGCAGCCGCCGCGG